UGAGGAAUAUUGCGCAAUGGGCGAAAGCCUGACGCAGCAACGCCGCGUGGAUGAUGAAGUUCUUCGGAAUGUAAAAUCCUUUUGCAGAGGAAGAAAAUGCUGGUUUACCGGCACUGACGGUACUCUGCGAAUAAGCCACGGCUAACUCUGUGCCAGCAGCCGCGGUAAUACGUAGGACACGAGCGUUAUCCGGAUUUACUGGGCGUAAAGCGCCUGUAGGCGGUUUUUCAAGUCGUUUGUGAAAGCCCUGGGCUCAACCUGGGGAGGCCAAGCGAUACUGAAGGACUUGAGGGUGACAGAGGGGAUGGGAAUUUCCGGUGUAGCGGUAAAAUGCGCAGAUAUCGGGAGGAACACCAGUGGCGAAGGCGGCUCCCUGGGGUCACACCGAGACGCUGAGAG
rnacentral:rRNA from 1 species